rnacentral:lncRNA from 1 species
UGUUUUUGCAGCUUCACAGUCAGACGCCUAAAGGACAUGGCACUGGAGGAAGCUUUGGGACAGGAGACAGUGAAUUCGCAACAGCAUGGACUGACCAACAGCAGAAAAAAAUUUUAUCUCUCAAGAAGAAUUCCAGCGUCAAGUUUUAACAAAGUUAACAGUUCUCCGAGUGGUCCCGCAGCAGCAAGGGCACCUCAUGGGUGCCCUUCUGUCGCGCUUUGCGAGACAGAACAUGGAGGCCCUAGGCCGGAAACGCACCACUAAUUACAGAGCCAUUUCAAGAUUAUGAUGAUCUCAAGCGGUUUGAUGCAACAUUAAAUGGCACGAGA